AACGAACGCUGGCGGCAUGCCUAAUACAUGCAAGUCGAACGAGAUCUUCGGAUCUAGUGGCGCACGGGUGCGUAACGCGUGGGAAUCUGCCUUUGGGUUCGGAAUAACUUCUGGAAACGGAAGCUAAUACCGGAUGAUGACGUAAGUCCAAAGAUUUAUCGCCCAAGGAUGAGCCCGCGUAGGAUUAGCUAGUUGGUGGGGUAAAGGCCUACCAAGGCGACGAUCCUUAGCUGGUCUGAGAGGAUGAUCAGCCACACUGGGACUGAGACACGGCCCAGACUCCUACGGGAGGCAGCAGUAGGGAAUAUUGGACAAUGGGCGAAAGCCUGAUCCAGCAAUGCCGCGUGAGUGAUGAAGGCCUUAGGGUUGUAAAGCUCUUUUACCCGGGAUGAUAAUGACAGUACCGGGAGAAUAAGCUCCGGCUAACUCCGUGCCAGCAGCCGCGGUAACAC
rnacentral:rRNA from 1 species